rnacentral:rRNA from 1 species
AUUGAACGCUGGCGGCAGGCCUAACCCAUGCAAGUCGAGCGAGCGGCGGACGGGUGAGUAAUGGCUGGGAAACUGCCUGAUGGAGGGGGAUAACUACUGGAAACGGUAGCUAAUACCGCAUACCAUCAGAUGUGCCCAGAUGGGAUUAGCUAGUAGGUGGGUUAACGGCUCACCUAAGCGACGAUCCCUAGCUGGUCUGAGAGGAUGACCAGCCAAACUGGAACUGAGACACGGUCCAGACGCCUCCGGGAGGCAGCAGUGGGGAAUAUUGCACAAUGGGCGCAAGCCUGAUGCAGCCAUGCCGCGUGUGGGAAGAAGGCCUUCGGUUUUUAAAGCACUUUCAGCUGGGAGGCUUUACCCGCAGAAGAAGCACCGGCUAACUCCGUGCCAGCAGCCGCGGUAAUUC